UAGGCCCACAAAGUCCAUCAGAGACCAGGUGAAGAACAGCAAAUGAAAUGGAAUCUAGAGAAGACUGAAGACUCGAACAACAACAAAAACUGUUAGGGUUCCUCCUUCGUCUGAGUCUUAGAUCUUCCCUCUCAAUCAGUUUACAGCUCACGACCAAUGGCUGACGAUGAAGUUGUUGAUCCAAAGAAGUACCUCGAGGAGUCUUGCAAUCCAAAAUGUGUGAAGCCACUUCUCGAAUAUCAGGCGUGUGUGAAGAGAAUCCAAGGUGAUGACUCUGGCCACAAGCAUUGCACUGGGCAGUAUUUCGACUACUGGCAAUGCAUUGACAAAUGUGUUGCACCCAAGCUUUUUACAAAACUGAAAUGAAAUAAAGGCGAAGCUGGAGUUGACAUUGUCUUUGAGUUUAAGGGAUGUAUAAAACGCAGUUGAUGUUAAACUCUUUUUUUUUUAACUGCAAACCUUAAUAAUGCCAAAAAUGGCUCUGCUUCUCGUUUUUUUUGUUUCUGUCACAAGUUGCGAGUGUUAUAUUUUUGCUACAGACAUUGUUAUUCUGCUUCUUUUAAAGUAAUAAAAAGCCUAAUAACAAGGAUUUGUUA